GGCUGGUUAGCUCAGUUGGUUUGAGCACGGUGCUGAUAACACCAAGAUCAUGGGUUCGAUCCCCGUUCGGUCC
rnacentral:tRNA from 1 species